rnacentral:misc_RNA from 1 species
GAUGAAGAACGUAGCGAAAUGCGAUAAGUAAUGUGAAUUGCAGAAUUCAGUGAAUCAUCGAAUCUUUGAACGCACAUUGCGCCCGCCAGUAUUCUGGCGGGCAUGCCUGUUCGAGCGUCAUUACAACCCUCAGGCCCCCGGGCCUGGCGUUGGGGAUCGGCGGAGCCCCCCGUGGGCACACGCCGUCCCCCAAAUGCAGUGGCGGUCCCGCCGCAGCUUUCAUCGCGUAGUAGCUAACACCUCGCGACUGGAGAGCGGCGCGGCCACGCCGUAAAACACCCAACUCUUCUGAAGUUGACCUCGAAUCAGGUAGGAAUACCCGCUGAACUUAAGCAUAUCAAUAAGCGGAGGA